UAUAUAUAUAUAUAUAUAUAUAUAUAUAUACAUAUACAUAUAUAUAUAUAUAUAUAUAUAUAUACAUAUAUAUAUAUAUAUAUAUAUAUAUAUAUAUAUAUAUAUAUAUAUAUAUAUAUAUAUAUAUAUAUAUAUAUAUAUACAUGUGUGUGUGUGUGUGUGUGUGUGUGUGUAAGUGGAAAGAAAUAAGUAAAGAAAGCAAAGAAAAGUGAUGUUUAUGGUUUAGUUCAAGCUGAAAUGGAUUGUUGAUGUAAUAAUUGUAGGUUACCACUUUUUCCUGUUCUUUCUACUGGUAACUAGAAAAGUAGAAACGUACUGCACACUUGUCUGUGAUACCAAAAGGAAGGUUUAAUGUUCCUGUGUCCUGUAAAAUGGAUGGAAAUCUGGGUUGAGAUGGUUUAGGGUUUGGCUUUGUAAUAAUCCUAUGCUAAAUUCAGAUCUAGAACUGUGCUUUUCUGUCUCUCUUUUCCUCUCCCUCUCUGGUUUCGUCUCUCAUGUGCUUUAAAAAGUGAUGAUAGCACAUGGCUUCCCAGCUAGCGGAGCCCCAAGGCAAAAUGUACAUGGCUGUUAGGUACUGUUACGCUUUCUGCUUUCAGAAACAAGCAAACCCCCUUAAAGGAUGCUGUAGUGGGGAGGGAAUGGCUGUGAGCCGGAGAAAGGGAGAGGAGAGAUAGGAAAAGAGAGGAAGAAUUGGGAGGCAGGGGAUGAACGUAGCAAGGAAGGAGUCCGAGAGGGAGGGAGCGCUCGGCUGUCUGAGAGAGAGAGAGAAAGAGGAAAAAAGUCCUCACAGUACUCCAGGAUUUGUUAUACCGAACCUCAAACUGAAAUAUUCUAGCACAGUGAUUCUAAACUUUCAAGGUCCUCUAUUGUCAAAGUCAAUAUUCGAAGGCCUCUUACACACAGCUGAGGAUUUUUCCUCUUGUACUUUUCCUCAAAUAUAACUAAGAUGUUUAUUUUUAGAACGGUUGGUGAUUAAAAUAAUGCAUUAAUAUCAAUAUGUUAUAAACAUUAAUAUGUUACUGCAGAAAUCUUCGUAGCUAGUCAUUCGAAUCAACUAUAGUCUAUAUAUUUUUAAAACAAAAAAAUUAGUAAAUUAAAUCUUUGAAGAGUUUAAAAAGGGGACACAUUUUAAAUGAAUGAAUGAAUACAUAGUGAAAAAGACGGGUCACACCUUACACAGAGAUGUUGAAAAAAUCAGUGCACCUUUCGAAUCCUCACCCGUGCAUACAUAGAUAGAUUGGCAAAUCAGUUUGUUCUACCAAAUUUAACAAUGAUAUAUCAUUAUCACAACUUUCGGGCGAGAUCUAUUAAAUCAAUGGCUCCACAAGUUGAGCGGGAUUAGUAUUACUUACAUGCUGAGAGGGUGUUAAAGCUCUCGGGUAUGGAUCGGAGUAGCGGCUUGGAUCAAUGGCAUUUGUGGACACUAAGCUCAAUAACAAGUCCUUCCAAGAACUGGAAGAGGAAGAAGAAAGAAAAAGAUGUGAAAAGCAGAUUUGCCAGGAGAGGAGCUAAUAUCCUGUAUGCGCUUGGCUGAACAUGAGCAAAAGAAAGAGAGGAGCAGGAAAAGAGAGAAAUGGAGGCAGUGAAGAGGGAGAGAGAGACAGCCAAGGGGUGCGAGUAUGGAUUGCUUUCCUUUUAAUUGUAUCAAUAGAGAUCUAGGUGACUUUAUUGAUAACUUGCCUUCAUGAGUAUUGGCAGAUGGACAAAACAAAUUCAUUGAACCAUCAGUGUGAAUCAGAACUGCUGUGCCGCCCCUCAAUACUAAUUGAAUGGUGACUAAUCUGUCAUUUAAGAUGUAUAUACAGUACAUGCCAUUUUUUUUUGAGACAAGUGUGCAUGCUCAAAGUGGAGGGAAUUAUUAAUGAAAUUCAGACGGUCCAUGUGCCAGGUUAUUCUUUCUGUGUGUGUUCGUACAGAAGGUGAGAGGGGGUGUGCAGAUGCUGUAAGUGGAUCUGCAAAAGUCAAAUUUCCUGUUUGGUGCUGAAGACUGUCCAGUCCUGACAACAUGACAAAGGACGACAUGUUUAGAUAAUGGAGAUGUUUGCCCCCAGGGAUAGCAUUAAUUAUGAGAAGAAUGACCAAUAGCUGCCUCAACUCUGAGCAAGAUGAAACAAGUUAAGCAGGACUGAUACAACACAUGCUGCUUUUCAAUAAAUGUUCAACUGGACAGUUAAAGUUAUUUUGAGAAGUUAUUUUAUGGAAUUUUGC
ensembl:lncRNA